ACGACUCUCGGCAACGGAUAUCUCGGCUCUCGCAUCGAUGAAGAACGUAGCGAAAUGCGAUACUUGGUGUGAAUUGCAGAAUCCCGUGAACCAUCGAGUCUUUGAACGCAAGUUGCGCCCGAGGCCACCCGGCCGAGGGCACGCCUGCCUGGGCGUCACGCACCGUGCU
rnacentral:rRNA from 34 species